AGUCGACGGUGAAGCCAGCUUGCUUGGUGGAUCAGUGGCGAACGGGUGAGUAACACGUGAGCAACCUGCCCUGAACUCUGGGAUAAGCGCUGGAAACGGCGUCUAAUACUGGAUAUGAGCUGCGGAGGCAUCUUCGUGGUUGGAAAGAUUUUUCGGUUUGGGAUGGGCUCGCGGCCUAUCAGCUUGUUGGUGAGGUAAUGGCUCACCAAGGCGUCGACGGGUAGCCGGCCUGAGAGGGUGACCGGCCACACUGGGACUGAGACACGGCCCAGACUCCUACGGGAGGCAGCAGUGGGGAAUAUUGCACAAUGGGCGGAAGCCUGAUGCAGCAACGCCGCGUGAGGGAUGACGGCCUUCGGGUUGUAAACCUCUUUUAGCAGGGAAGAAGCGAAAGUGACGGUACCUGCAGAAAAAGCGCCGGCUAACUACGUGCCAGCAGCCGCGGUAAUACGUAGGGCGCAAGCGUUAUCCGGAAUUAUUGGGCGUAAAGAGCUCGUAGGCGGUUUGUCGCGUCUGCUGUGAAAUCUGGGGGCUCAACCCCCAGCCUGCAGUGGGUACGGGCAGACUAGAGUGCGGUAGGGGAGAUUGGAAUUCCUGGUGUAGCGGUGGAAUGCGCAGAUAUCAGGAGGAACACCGAUGGCGAAGGCAGAUCUCUGGGCCGUAACUGACGCUGAGGAGCGAAAGGGUGGGGAGCAAACAGGCUUAGAUACCCUGGUAGUCCACCCCGUAAACGUUGGGAACUAGUUGUGGGGUCCAUUCCACGGAUUCCGUGACGCAGCUAACGCAUUAAGUUCCCCGCCUGGGGAGUACGGCCGCAAGGCUAAAACUCAAAGGAAUUGACGGGGACCCGCACAAGCGGCGGAGCAUGCGGAUUAAUUCGAUGCAACGCGAAGAACCUUACCAAGGCUUGACAUACACGAGAACGCUGCAGAAAUGUAGAACUCUUUGGACACUCGUGAACAGGUGGUGCAUGGUUGUCGUCAGCUCGUGUCGUGAGAUGUUGGGUUAAGUCCCGCAACGAGCGCAACCCUCGUUCUAUGUUGCCAGCACGUAAUGGUGGGAACUCAUGGGAUACUGCCGGGGUCAACUCGGAGGAAGGUGGGGAUGACGUCAAAUCAUCAUGCCCCUUAUGUCUUGGGCUUCACGCAUGCUACAAUGGCCGGUACAAAGGGCUGCAAUACCGCGAGGUGGAGCGAAUCCCAAAAAGCCGGUCCCAGUUCGGAUUGAGGUCUGCAACUCGACCUCAUGAAGUCGGAGUCGCUAGU
rnacentral:rRNA from 1 species